rnacentral:rRNA from 1 species
CCCUUAGAUGUUCUGGGCUGCACGCGCGCGACAAUGACGUUUGCAACGAGAUUGCGAGGCCAUCAGGUCGAGCUGAUCUUGCAAGCUGCGUCGUGAUAGGGACAGUCGAUUGCAAUUAUUCGACUCGAACGAGGAAUUCCUUGUAAUCGCGCAUCAUCAGUGCGCGCUGAAUACGUCCCUGCCCUUUGUACACACCGCCCGUCGCUCCUACCGAUUGAAUGUUCCGGUGAAUACUUCGGACUGCGAGGUUUGCAGUUUCUGCGCUCCUUGCGGAAAGUUGAAUAAACCUUAACAUUUAGAGGAAGGAGAAGUCGUAACA